rfam:Schistosoma mattheei strain Denwood, Zambia genome assembly, scaffold: SMTD_scaffold0013102
AUCCAGCUAACUAGUCCCAAAUAGGACCAAACACGUGUCCUAGAU